GCCUACGGGUGGCAGCAGUGAGGAAUAUUGGUCAAUGGCCGAGAGGCUGAACCAGCCAAGUCGCGUGAGGGAAGAAUGUCCUAUGGAUUGUAAACCUCUUUUGUCAGGGAGCAAAGUCACCCACGUGUGGGUGUUGGAGAGUACCUGAAGAAAAAGCAUCGGCUAACUCCGUGCCAGCAGCCGCGGUAAUACGGAGGAUGCGAGCGUUAUCCGGAUUUAUUGGGUUUAAAGGGUGCGUAGGCGGGUUAUCAAGUCAGCGGUAAAAUCGUGGAGCUCAACUCCGUCGUGCCGUUGAAACUGCAUCCCUUGAGUGCGCGAGAAGUAUGCGGAAUGCGUGGUGUAGCGGUGAAAUGCAUAGAUAUCACGCAGAACUCCGAUUGCGAAGGCAGCAUACCGGCGCGCAACUGACGCUCAUGCACGAAAGCGUGGGUAUCGAACAGGAUUAGAUACCCCUGUAGUC
rnacentral:rRNA from 1 species